CAGAAACCAGUGUAGCUGUUUCAAGGGGCCUGGUUACUGCUUGAGCUGAUGGGUGCUCUUGGCAUUAUCCAUGUGGUGCUUGUUUUGUUUUGUAAGUAUGCAGAAUGCAAGAGUUAUGAGGUCACAAAGGCUUCUACCUACAUGUUUAAGGAAGGCCAGAGGUUAGGCAAGGUGCAUUAGGGUAAGCUCUCCCACAGGGAUUCCCUAAGAGGAAAUACACAAAGCUGUGAAAACAGAGCCUACGUUGUCAUAAAGACAUCGUAAAGAUGUUGGAAAUGUCAGGGAAGUAGAAUGUGCUCAGGAAUCCUACAAUCAAGAUUUCAUCUGAGUUUGACCAGAGUAUCAGAAGAGACUUUGAAUUUGGACUCUGGAAUAAUACUGGAAGUGUCAAGAUUGAAGGCACUCUUAAAUAUUAACUAAAUACACUGUACUCAUGAGAGAGCAAUGAGCCUUUGGGACCCAGGGCACAAUUUUAUGAAAUCUUUUAAUGUUCACCAUGGGUUCGCUCUUGCCUUAAAUUGCCCAUGUCCAGCAUAAGGAUAACAGUGAAGAGAACAAUUAACUAAUGAAAUCAUCCAAAACAUCAGGAGGACAGAAUCCACAUCUGUUCAGAUCUUUUACAAAGUAAAGUUCUCAGCAGCCUACCCUCAAAAUUCAGUUCAAAGGCAACCUAAACUACAUCCUGAGAACCUAUCUCAAAAGAGUUUUAAAAAGCUUUAUAAUAAAUUUAGCAUAUGCAACGUUAGGAUUAUAUACUAUACCCUCUUUAUUGAGGUGUAUUGUUGGGGUGUUGUUUCUCUGGAUGACCUUUCCUUUAGUCACCUUUCCCUGCUCCAAUUUGUCUCCAUAUUUCCUCCCAUGAGUAUUUUGUUCCCCCUUCUAAGAAGGACUGAAGCAUCUACAUUUUGGUUUUCCUUCUUCUUGAGCUUUACAUGGUCUGUGAACUGAUUCUUGAGUAUUCCAAGCUUUUGGGCUAAUAUCCACUUAUCAGUGAGUGCAUACCAUGUGUGUUCUUUGUGACUGUGUUACCUCACUCAGGAUGAUAUUUUAAAGUUCCAUCCUUUUGCCUAAGAAUUUCAUGAGGUCACUGUCUGUCUUUAAUAGCUGAGUGGUAUUCCAUUGUGUAGAUGUAUCACAUUUUCUGUAUCCAUUCCUCUGUUGAAGGUCAUCUGGGUUCUUUCUAGCUUCUGGCUAUUAUAAAUAAGGCUGCUAUGAACAUAGUGGAGCACGUGUCCUUGUUAUACAUUGGAGCAUCUUUUGGGUAUAUGCCCAGGAGUGAUAUAGCUAGUUCCUCGGGAAGUACUAUGUCCAAUUUUCUGAGAAACGGCCAGACUGAUUUCCAGAGUGGUUGUACCAGUAUGCAAUCCCACCAAAAAUGGAGGAGUGUUCCUCUUUCUCCACAUCCUCGCCAGCAUCUGCUGUCCCCUGAGUUUUUGAUCUUAGCCAUUCUCACUGGUGUGAGGUGGAAUCUCAGGGUUGUUUUGCUUUGCAUUUCCCUGAUGACUAAGGAUGUUGACAUUCCUUUAGGUGCUUCUCAGCCACUCAGUAUUCCUGUUAAGAAUUCGUUGUUUAGCUCUGUACCCCAUUUUUAACAGGAUUAUUUGGUUCUCUGGAGUCUAACUUCUUGAGUUCUUUGUAUAUAUUAGAUAUUAGCCUUCUAUUGGAUAUAGGAUUGGUAAAGAUCUUUUCCCAAUCUAUUGAUUGCCGUUUUGUUCUAUUGACAGUGCCCUUUGCCUUAUAGAAGCUUUGCAAUUUUAUGAGGUCCCAUUUGUCGAUUCUUGAUCUUAGAGCAUAAGUCAUUUGUGUUCUGUUUAGGAAAUUUUCCCCUGUGCCUACGUGUUCUUUCCCACUUUCUCUUCUAUUAGUUUCAGUGUAUCUGGUUUUAUGUGGAGGUCUUUGAUCCACUUGGACUUAAGCUUUGUACGGGGCAAUAAAAAUGGAUGAUUUGAACCAUUAUCGUUUGUUGAAAAUGCUAUCUUUUUUCCAUUGGAUGGUUUUAGCUCCUUUGUCAAAGACAAGGGACCAUAGUAAUGUGGGUUCAUUUCUGGGUCUUCAAUUCUAUUCUACUGAUCUACCUGCCUGUCUCUGUACCAAUACCAUGCAUGCAGUUUUUAAUCACAAUUGCUCUGUUAUACUGUUUGAGGUCAGGAAUGGUGAUUCUCUCAGAAGUUCUUUGAUUGUUGAGAAUAGAUUUCACUAUCGAAGGCUUUUUGUUAUUCCAAAUGAAUUUGAGAAUUACUCUAACUCUAUGAAGAAUUGAGUUGGAAUUUUGAUGGGGAUUGCAUUGAAUCUGUAGAUUGUUUCUGUCAAGAUGGCCAUUUUUACGAUAUUAAUCCUGCCAAUCCAUGAGCAUGGGAGAUCUUUCCAUCUUCUGAGAUCAUCUUCAAUUUUUUUCUUCAAAGACUUGAAGUUUUUGUCAUACAGAUCUUUCACUUGCUUGGGUAGAGUCACACCAGGGUAUUUUAUAUUAUUUGUGACUAUUGUGAAGGGUGUCGUUUCCCUAAUUUCUUUCUCAGCCUGUUUAUCUUUUGAGUAGAAGAAGGCUACUGACUUGUUGGAGUUAAUUGUAUAUUCUGCCACUUUGCUGAAGUUGUUUAUCAGGUUUAGGAGUUCUCUGGUGGAAUUUUUGGGGUCACUUAAGUAUACUAUCACAUCAUCUUCAAUACAGAAAUCCAUCAAUAUAAUCCACUAAGAAAAAAACUCAAAGGAAAAAAAAAAACAAACCACACAACCAUUUCAUUAGAUGCUGAGAGAGCACUUGACAAAAUUCAACACCCCUUCAUGAUAAAAGUCCUAGAAAGAUCAGGAAUUCAAGGCCCAUACCUAAACAAGUAAAAGCAAUAUACAGCAAACCAAUAGCCAACAUCAAACUAAAUGGAGAGAAACUUGAAGCAAUCCCACUAAAAUCAGGGACUAGACAAGGCUGCCCACUCUCUCCCUACUUAUUCAAUAUAGUACUCAAAGUCCUAGCCAGAGCAAUCAGACAACAAAAAGAAGUCAAAGGGACACAAAUUGGAAAGGAAGAAGUCAGCCUGCAUUCUUAUAGUACCUAGCACGAGUGGACCAGAGGCAGUACAACCCACACCUGCCCUUCCAUGUCCAUCAUCAAUUAACAAAAUACACGGCAGGCUUGCCCACAGGCCCAUCUGCUGGGGCCAUUUUUCUAACUGAGGUUCCCUCUUCCCACAUAACCCUGGCUCAUGCAUGUUGAGUUGACAUAAAGCUACCAGCGUACUGAGCAUGCUAAACUGUUUUCAGGCCUUUGCACUAAAUCUUCCUACUGAAUGAAACCCUUUCCCUAAGAAGAGACAUUUAUCAGAUUGCUAGUAAGGAGCAAAUGGAAUACUGGUAGAUUCAAAAUGAGAAACUAAAAGUACAUAAUCAUUAGUCGCAGGAACCAUUCUGGGCAAAAUCCUGUAUUAACAUACUUUCAAACUCUCCUUUCCUUUUUUCCAGCUAAACUUUCUGAAGAAAACAGAACAUGCUCUGUGGCAUUUGUGUGCUAUCACACCCUGCCCUCAGCUCUCUAGGACAGAAGGUUACUUGGGCUAGCCUUUACUGUGCUAGGUUACUUUACUGUGAAGGUUACUUGGGCUAGCCUGACCUUGAACUUGUGAUAUAGCUCAGGUUGACCAAGUACCCUUUAUAUUCCAUUUCUACAGUGCUGGGACUAUAGAAUUGUGCCACCACACCUAACUGCCAUCCUUAGGAAUGCAAGAAUUUGAUCACUUCGGUCCUCCAUGGCUCUGGCCCAUUAACACCAGUCAAUUCCAGGAACCUUUCACUCAUUUUUUUCCAAUGUUUAAUUAAUACAAUUUUUUUACAAUGAAUGGCUGUCAGUUUUCUUUUAAAUAGUAACUUUCUUUUUGUUGUUGCUGCUGUUUGUUAUUGUCAUUUGAAACAGGGUCUCUCUACAUAACCCUGGCUGUCUUAGAACUCACAAUGUAGGCCAGGCUUCGAAUUCACAGUUGUCCAGCUGCCUCUGCCUCCCAAGUGCUGCUAUCAAAGGUGUGGUGCCACUGUGCCCGGCUUUGAUAAUUAUUUUUAACUCUUACAUCUAGGGUGUAUGUGUGUGUGUGUGUGUGUGUGUGUGUGUGUGUGUGUGUGUGUGUGUCUGUGUGUGUCUGUGUCUGUGUCUCUGUGUGUAUGUGUGUGAGUGUGUGUGUGUGUAUGUGUGUGUAUGUAUGUGUGAGUGUCUGUGUGUGUAUGUGUGUGUGUGUAUGUGUGUGUGUCUGUGUUUGUGAGUGUGUGUGUGUAUGUGUGUGUGUCUGUGUGUGUGUGCCUGUGUCUGUGUCUCUGUGUGUAUGUGUGUGAGUGUGUGUGUGUGUAUGUGUGUGUGUGAGUGUCUGUGUGUGUAUGUGUGUGUGUCUGUGUUUGUGAGUGUGUGUGUGUAUGUGUGUGUAUGUGUGUGUGUCUGUGUGUGUGCCUGUGUCUGUGUCUCUGUGUGUAUGUGUGUGAGUGUGUGUGUAUGUGUGUGUGUGUCUGUGUGUCUGUGUGUAUGUGUGUGCCUGUGUCUGUGUGUCUGUGUGUAUGUGUGUGCCUGUGUCUGUGUCUCUGUGUGUAUGUGUGUGAGUGUGUGUGUGUAUGUGUGUAUGUGUGUGUGAGUGUGUGUCUGUGUGUGUAUGUAUGUGUGUGUGUCUGUGUUUGUGAGUGAGUGUGUGUGUGUGUGUGUGUGUGUGUGUGUGUUUUCUUAAAAUGUUGCUAUACAGCAUUCAGAAGGCAGAGGCAGAAAGUUCUCUGUGGCUUUAAAGCUACCUUGAUCUACUUAAGGAGCUCCAGGACAGCCAGGACUAUAUAAAGAGACCCUGAUAAACAAACAAAUAAAUAAAAUGUUGCUACAAUAACUUUGUUUGUUAAUCCCUGAAAAAUUGAAUAUUCUGCCAGAUACUUCAAGAUCUUCACCUCAAAAGACCAUGGAUUAGAGACCAUGGAUUCUAUUCGUGAGCACACUAACUUUUACCACACUUGGCACUCAGUUCUGUGAACCUUCCUCAGGAUGCAGUCGUAAUGUUAAAGUUAACUCGGACUUUAAGUUGAGGAUACCUUUGUACUUUGAGUCCUACACAGUGAAAUCCCAAGCGUUUUGACUUUUUAACGAGUAAAAUGGAGCCAGUCACAGUAGCUUAGUUACCCUCAAUCACCAGCUGUCAGCUGCUCAGAACAGGCGCAAAUAAAACAAAUGCUGGGCAUGGCCAAGCUGUUUCCACAUCCUACUUCUGUGAGCUGUGAGCUGCUUGCCUACAAUGUCAGCAGGUCUCUGAGUACCUUCUGCCUGAGCUGUCAAUUCUAUUAAACUCAAAUGGUUUUGAGUUUUUAUUUUAGCAGCAGCAUGGACAAGUUGGCUCAGUUCAGGGUUCUCAACAGUGACAGUCCUGACAUUUUGGAAUGGUAAUUUCUUUGUUUUGAGAUGUUAUCCUGUGAUGUUGACUGUCACCCUAGUCCCACUGAUGCUAAUAGCAUCCCUCUCCCUUGGUUCAUCUCAAGUAUUGCCAAAGUUCCCAGAGUAGGGGAAUCGCAUCAGGUCCAAACCAAUAGUUCACUUUUGCUUUUUGUUGUUUUUGUACUAAAGACUUUGCAUAUGCUAGGCAAGCACUCUCUCAUGGAGCUAGAUCCCCAACCCACAUCAUUUUUUACGAAUGUAAAACUUAGAGCAGAGUAAAAAACUGAAUGUAUCAAUAAUGUCCAUCUUACGUCUGUGUGUUCCUGAUAUGAAUCUUUCUAGUGAUUUAUAUGGUUACAACUGUUCUGGAAUCUUAUUGUUAAAUUCUUUAAUACACAACACAGCCAGGAGAUCCUCAGAGUCUAAGAGGUCAAAGUAGCCAAUGAAUUCCAUAAGGUUCAAUAUCUGUUAAAUACAGAGAUAAGACUAAACCACAGUAGUUGUUCUCAGUUGAAACCAGAAUUCUGAAUUUUUCCUCACCAAAGUCACAUGACUAUUGUUAUUAUGGCCCAAGGACAAUCUUUAAGUCACAAAACAUGUAUAAGAACAAAUAUCUUUUUUAUUGUUUUCAUAUAAAAAUAUUUAAAAUAGAUUUUAUAUGUUCAUGAAAAGAAACUGAUAAAAUAAAUUAUAAGGGUAAAUGUCUGAAGUUAAUACCUCAUUAAAGUGAUCAUAUAGGGCAAUAACUUACAAAAAACAUAUGAUCCAAUUUGUACAGUUAGAUAUAUAUAAUCUGACAGAACCAACACCAAAAACUGGCAAUUAUUAAUGUGUUGAGAGGACUGUUUUACAGGAUUUAUUUUUCCAUUUUCUAAGUGAAAAACAGCUUAUUGGGAACAUUUUAUUGUUUGUAUAAACAGAUCUAUUUCACACAGACAUCAUAAGGAAAAGGCUGUGAAACCUACAGCAAAUGGUGAUAAAGGAAAGCCGUGGGUUUAGAGAACUGUCUCCCAGCUCAUCGAUUUCUCAGAUCCAGCCCUACUGAGCCAGCUGGCCCCGUCUAUGACGAUGUCACAGUGAUCUGUGUCAACUAUGUGAAGCCAUAACCUCCUUGCUGACUGACGGUUUGUUUCUGAAACCUUGAGAUAUGACUACCACUAAUUAAAGCAUAGACAUUAGGAAUCUACAAGCUAUAGAUUCCACCCCAGCCAACAGAAAAGGAGGAGAAGCAGGAGCUCUGAGAACUCCUUGGAUGGUUUGGGGUGGGUUUGAGGUGGUUUGGUUUGGUUUGGUUCUCUCUACAUAGAGCUGGCGAUGCAGGACUUGUUACAAACCAGGCUGGCCUCGUACUCACUGACAUCCUCCUGCUGGUGGGCUACAGUGCCCAUCUGUUUUGUAUUUUUUCAGACAACUGUUCCACUGUGUUUCCUUAGCUAGCCUGGAACUCUCCAUGUAGACCAGGCUGGCCUUGAACUCACAGUGCUAGGAUUAAAAUGUGCCACCUUGCCUAACUUCUUUUUUACUUUUCACAUAAAUGGCCUUUUCCCCCUUCAUAAAAGGAUUAGUAAAGGUGCUAUCGUGAAAGCCAGCAAAGCAAUCGCAAACUCUCACAGAAACACUCUCCAUGAACUUUCACCUAGUAAGCCAGUGAAUGCUUGUUUGGUAUACAGUGUUGACAGGCACCAAAGGAACAUGCAGACAAGACAAACAGGCAUAUGGUGCAGGAGAAGAAAUGUCUAUAACCUGAGUUUGUUCUUUCGUCACACUGCUAGGAAAUAAUGCCAACUGAGGACAAAGUGAGUCAGGUCACAUGCUGGAGAGUCUUUCCAGCAUCAACACUAAUCCAUCACAGCCUGCUGCUUUCUGUGCUGGGCCUGUGUAUGUCCUCUGAUUUCAACAGUGCCAUUCUAACCUUGAAGGUCUUAACUUAGGAGUCUGCAUAGCCAAGAGUUCAUCUUUUAUUCUGUCAUAAAGGCUCUUACUUGUGCCCAGGUCUGGUGAACGCACCAACUUUGUUUACCCACAGUUCUCAGCUUCAGUGUUAGAAACCUUGAUAUAGAAGGCAUGUCAGUACAAAAAAAAAAAAAAAAAAAAACAAAAAAAAAAAAAAAACAA